GCUAGGGGCUGGUUAGGGGGUGGAGGGCUGGGGCCGAUUGGGGGCAGCGGCGGAUGAUCUGUUCGCGUGGCGCGGCGGCGGGGUUUGUAGGCGGCGGGUAUCCGGAGUGCGCGGUGGCGGCUAGCUCCUAGGGCGCGCGUGGUGGCCAGUACCUAGGACGCACGGCGGUGGUCCGAGACCUAGCGGGAGCAACAAGGGUCGUGGUGGCGCGCGACGGCCUAGGGGCUUUAGGGCGCGCGGCGGCUCUGGGUUGUAAGGGCGAGCAGCGGCGGCGGCCCCGGUUAGGACGGUGGUACGCAGCCGAGCGCCGGGCGGUCUAGAGGUUCUACGGCGACGAUGAGGGGGUGGCCAAGACGGCGGGACGAGGAGUACUAGGUGGCCGGGGAAGUGGUUGCGGGAACGAGGGGCUUCGGCGGCCGCUCCCCUCAAUGCAGCAGCCGUCCCGGAGAUCGUCUUGCGUGGUACGAGGAAUUGAGAGCGGAGACGUGGAGGAAGGAACCGUAGGGGCGCCCACUGGAAGAGACCGCGGACACUAGCUGGAAGGACCACAGAGAACGAACUUGGACACGUGGUGACGAGGGCUUGGUCGAGAUGAGCAAGUUCCCCGUCACCUUUCGUGGGAGUGGGACUAGGUUAGAUGUUGUGGCGGGGGCUCAGGAGGGUUGCGUCGGGGCUCGGUAAGUUGAUACGACAGGACCAGGCAAGCGGAGCUGGGAUUCGGCAAGUUGCUGCCUCGGCGGCCGACAAGUACUUGUAUCGUGGGGCCUAGAACGACGGGUGGUAGGUCAAGUUGAAGACGACUUAAACUAUUUCCCUCUGAGGAACAGUCUCGUUAAGGGAGAAUUGAAAAAAGGCAAGCUUCAAGAUUAAACAAUCGAUGAAGUCCAAGUCGAUCGGACACAUACACCGAUGGUUCCACCGUACGUAAGUCGGUGCUGAAACAAAACCAAAGGUGUACAGCGGUCAACGAUAAAUACACUUUUUCUAAAUACAUAUGACCCUGGAGGUACAUGACUUGUAUAAUUUUCUACGAGGUGCAGAAUAUUCACAGGUGAGAUGUCUUUUUUCUUGUAAUAAUAUACUUUAUGGUUGUUUGUUACGUCGUUCGUGACGAGAGACUCCAUCGUCCGUCUCUUUUCUUCCAGUAAAGUCUUUAAGUCUCUGUUUUGUUCUUUGUAUACUUUAGGUCUCUUUUCCGUAUACCUCAACAACACGUCACACAAAUGGACGACGAUGUGGUUCCACAGGGGUUGGUACUGUGGAAGACAAGCACAAUAGUGGUGUUUUGACUCAUGUCUUCUGAGUUCGACGAUCAGCGGUAGGUGGAGGAGUUUCGUGGAGUGACGAAAGAACUCUUUGUACGUACUUGGGAUACGAUAGCGGGGCCAAGAUGAGUUUGACUACACGUGGCACAAUGACGUCGGAGAUCGAGUAUAAGUAAAUAAAGUAAAGCAUCGAAGCUAAACAUUGAACAAUUCAAAUAACACGUCUCCGAGGUGUUUCUACGGGUUUUUUCACACAAUACCUGGAACAUUGAGGAAGGGGAAAAGACAAGUACGUACAUGAAGUGCACUAAACUACCUUCCUUCAAUCACAUUUGGGC
rnacentral:rRNA from 1 species